rnacentral:rRNA from 1 species
CGUAGGUGGCAAGCGUUGUCCGGAUUUAUUGGGCAUAAAGGGAGCGCAGGUGGUUUCUUAAGUCUGAUGUGAAAGCCCACGGCUUAACCGUGGAGGGUCAUUGGAAACUGGGGAACUUGAGUGCAGAAGAGGAAAGCGGAAUUCCAUGUGUAGCGGUGAAAUGCGUAGAUAUAUGGAGGAACACCAGUGGCGAAAGCGGCUUUCUGGUCUGUAACUGACACUGAGGCUCGAAAGCGUGGGGGAGCAAACAGGAUU